rnacentral:lncRNA from 1 species
UACUUUCCUUAGACUCUAUAUGCUUUCCCCACCCAUGCUUAACCUUAACAUUAUUCUUUUAUACUUUCACUUAUCCUUUCACAUCCUUAUCAUUUCCACUUAUCCCUUCCCAUUCUCAUUCACUUUCCUUUCAUUUAGACUUGUACUUGGACUCAUUCACUAGACACCACCCGUUAUCGGUGUCACACACAAUACAUAUCGCACUCAAUUUCUACUUCAAUAACAUU